AGUGGCAGACGGGUGAGUAAUGUAUAGGAAUCUACCUAGUAGUACGGAAUAAUUGUUGGAAACGGCAACUAAUACCGUAUACGCCCUACGGGGGAAAAAUUUAUUGCUAUUAGAUGAGCCUAUAUUAGAUUAGUUAGUUGGUGAGGUAAAGGCUUACCAAGACAAUGAUCUAUAGCUGAUCUGAGAGGAUGAUCAGCCACACUGGAACUGAGAUACGGUCCAGCCUCCUACGGGAGGCAGCAGUGGGGAAUAUUGGACAAUGGGCGAAAGCCUGAUCCAGCCAUGCCGCAUGGGUGAAGAAGGCCUUCGGGUUGUAAAGCCCUUUUAGUGAGGAAGAUAAUGACGGUACUCACAGAAGAAGUCCUGGCUAACUCCGUGCCAGCAGCCGCGGUAAUACGGAGAGGGCUAGCGUUAUUCGGAAUCAUUGGGCGUAAAGGGCGCGUAGGCGGGUUAAUAAGUUAAAAGUGAAAUCCCAAGGCUCAACCUUGGAACUGCUUUUAAAACUGCUAGUCUAGAGAUUGAAAGAGGAUAGAGGAAUUCCUAGUGUAGAGGUGAAAUUCGUAAAUAUUANGAGGAACACCAGUGGC
rnacentral:rRNA from 1 species